rnacentral:rRNA from 1 species
GAGUUUGAUCAUGGCUCAGAUUGAACGCUGGCGGCAGGCUUAACACAUGCAAGUCGAGCGGUAACAGGAGAAGCUUGCUUCUCGCUGACGAGCGGCGGACGGGUGAGUAAUACUUAGGAAUCUACCUAGUAGUGGGGGAUAGCACGGGGAAACUCGUAUUAAUACCGCAUACGACCUACGGGAGAAAGGGGGCAGUUUACUGCUCCCGCUAUUAGAUGAGCCUAAGUCGGAUUAGCUAGAUGAUGGGGUAAAGGCCUACCAUGGCGACGAUCUGUAGCUGGUCUGAGAGGAUGAUCAGCCACACCGGGACUGAGACACGGCCCGGACUCCUACGGGAGGCAGCAGUGGGGAAUAUUGGACAAUGGGGGAAACCCUGAUCCAGCCAUGCCGCGUGUGUGAAGAAGGCCUUUUGGUUGUAAAGCACUUUAAGCAGUGAAGAAGACUCCGUGGUUAAUACCCACGGACGAUGACAUUAGCUGCAGAAUAAGCACCGGCUAACUCUGUGCCAGCAGCCGCGGUAAUACAGAGGGUGCAAGCGUUAAUCGGAAUUACUGGGCGUAAAGGGAGCGUAGGUGGCUCGAUAAGUCAGAUGUGAAAUCCCCGGGCUUAACCUGGGAACUGCAUCUGAUACUGUUGAGCUAGAGUAUGUGAGAGGAAGGUAGAAUUCCAGGUGUAGCGGUGAAAUGCGUAGAGAUCUGGAGGAAUACCGAUGGCGAAGGCAGCCUUCUGGCAUAAUACUGACACUGAGGCUCGAAAGCGUGGGUAGCAAACAGGAUUAGAUACCCUGGUAGUCCACGCCGUAAACGAUGUCUACUAGUCGUUGGGUCCCUUGAGGACUUAGUGACGCAGCUAACGCAAUAAGUAGACCGCCUGGGGAGUACGGCCGCAAGGUUAAAACUCAAAUGAAUUGACGGGGGCCCGCACAAGCGGUGGAGCAUGUGGUUUAAUUCGAUGCAACGCGAAGAACCUUACCUGGUCUUGACAUAUCUAGAAUCCUGCAGAGAUGCGGGAGUGCCUUCGGGAAUUAGAAUACAGGUGCUGCAUGGCUGUCGUCAGCUCGUGUCGUGAGAUGUUGGGUUAAGUCCCGCAACGAGCGCAACCCUUGUCCUUAGUUACCAGCGGGUUAAGCCGGGAACUCUAAGGAUACUGCCAGUGACAAACUGGAGGAAGGCGGGGACGACGUCAAGUCAUCAUGGCCCUUACGACCAGGGCUACACACGUGCUACAAUGGUAGGUACAGAGGGCAGCUACACAGCGAUGUGAUGCGAAUCUCAAAAAGCCUAUCGUAGUCCAGAUUGGAGUCUGCAACUCGACUCCAUGAAGUAGGAAUCGCUAGUAAUCGCGGAUCAGAAUGCCGCGGUGAAUACGUUCCCGGGCCUUGCACACACCGCCCGU